CCCCUCUCAGGAUGGCACCUGGAGAGUUUUCAGUACUCUACCAGGUUUGGCUACGGGUGGGAUAGUCGAGCAGAGGCCUACCCAUUCCAUUCCUAGCUUGGGCAGUGGCUAGUGAAUGGAAGGCGAUCUUCUAUAAGU
rfam:Ornithorhynchus anatinus chromosome 4, whole genome shotgun sequence.